UCCAUCUGGUGACAUGUCAUUUAGUUAAUCCAUUAAAAUAAUAUGUUCAACAAGAAUUUUAAUUGUAUCUCCGUUGAUUAAUUUUUAAGGCACAGUCCUGAGAUGACAAGAAUCUCGCAAUAUAUUUCUGGAAAAGAAAAGCAGAAGAGGAGCUUUGGAUUUAACAUUGUUAGCAUAAAGGUCCCGGGAUUCCAAUUAGUUGACUUUCUUUGUACAAAACUGUUAAAAAGAAGAUUCAAGAAAAACUUUGUAUUUGCAAUACCAGAGGAAGUGUUUACAGUUACCAUAUCUCCAGAAUUGUAACUUUGUGUUGGUAAUCCCCAACAAUUUAUAUGCAACAUGUUAUUGAAAGAAGCCUCAGUAUUUAUUGUGAUGAACAAAAUAAAUAUUGGCUAUGAAGAGAAGAGAUAAAUUGUAUGUUGAGCAAAUAUGAAAAACAAGCGGUUGCCAUGCAAGAUACACCCUCAUUUAAGUUUCAGAAAAAUCAGAUAAAAAUUGUGACCUCUAGUCCACAACCUUGGUAUUACAUACUUUUUACACUAUUUGCGUACAAGGAUCUUUGGGAGAUAAACCUAUAUUUCAAGUUUCAUCAAAAUCGGAUAAAAACUGUGACUUGUAGAAUGUCCAUAAACAAAUUGUGGACGGACAGGGGCG